rnacentral:rRNA from 1 species
UACGUAGGGGGCAAGCGUUGUCCGGAUUUAUUGGGCGUAAAGAGCGUGUAGGCGGCCAGACAAGUCUGCUGUGAAAACUCGAGGCUCAACCUCGAGCUGUCGGUGGGAACUGUCUGGCUAGAGUCCGGAAGAGGAGAGUGGAAUUCCUGGUGUAGCGGUGAAAUGCGCAGAUAUCAGGAAGAACACCUAUGGCGAAGGCAGCUCUCUGGGACGGUACUGACGCUGAGGAGCGAAAGUGUGGGGAGCGAACAGG